AGCUCCAAUAGCGUAUAUUAAAGUUGUUGCGGUUAAAAGCUCGUAGUUGGAUUUCUGUUGAGGAUGAGCGGUCCACACUAUGUGUGAGUAUCUGUUACAGCCUCGGCAUCCUCAUGAAGAACUGCAUGUGAUUUAUUUCGUGUGUAGGAAUUCAUGACUUUUACUUUGAGGAAAUUAGAGUGUUCACGGCAAGCAAUCGCUUUGAAUACAUUAGCAUGGAAUAAUAAUAUAGGACCUUGGUACUAUUUUGUUGUUUCUAGAACUAAGGUA
rnacentral:rRNA from 1 species